rnacentral:lncRNA from 1 species
GUUGUCGCCUCCAAGAAGGUGGGGGCCAGAGGGUGGGGAAGGGGACGGGUGGAGGGACAGAAGGGAUGCAGAGGACCAGAGAAGUUGUGGCUGCAGGUCCCCUCUUCCCGCUCGCGCCUGGGGUUCCCUCUCCUCCCCCUGUGCAGCACAGCCGGCGCGGGCGUCCGAGCGCCGGGAGCCGGGGCUUAUAUGGGACGGUCCCCUCCCGCCCCUCUGGAGGCCCGGGGCGCGGGGGAGGAGAGACCCGCCGGGCUGUCCCCGCCCCGCCCCACCCCACCCGCCCGCCCGCCCGCCGGCCGCCGCAGCCGACCGCGCGCCGAUUGGCCCGGGCUCCGGGUGACGUCACGGGGGACUGUGGGUUCGCAGCGAACAAAAGAGAUGCUGAUGGCCCGCCAGGACUGGGAAACUUUUUAGGGGAUGGGGGAAGGGAUGGGAAGCGGCUGGGAGGAAAGGGAGUGGCUGGACUUGUGUGAAGCGAAGGGGUUGCAAGACGCUCCCCCUUCCCUUUUCUUUUUUAUUGGGGGUGGUGGUAGUGUUUGAGGACAUUGCGUCACCUCUCUUCGGGGUGGAGGGGGGGAAUCUCUGCUUAUAGGAGUGUAUUUUGUGAGGAAGAAAACCCAUAAAAUAUCCACGACCUUGCAGCUGUUAAGAAUCCAGACUUUUCAGUCCCAGGGCGGGGCUGCCUUUCCCCCCAUCCCGCUCCCUUUCUUUGGACUAAAGGGUACUGACUCGGGACUCCCUUAUUUUGUCUUCACAGCUCCCUGUUCGGACUUCUUCCCUUCUCAGCGCUGUGCCUGUCUGGCUCUGAGAAAGGGCCAGCGGGCGAACGGGGAGCAAAGGGGAACAGAGACCUUUAAUGAGCUUCUACUAAGUACCGGGAGUUCCGCGGGGCGCUUUGCAGAUCCCGGGGAAGUUCAGAGAAUGAAGUUUUCUUUUGCAAGGACAAAGUAACAGUUUACUUUUUUACACAUGCAGGAAAGCCUUCCUUUCCUGGGGAUGGGACGCCCGUUUCCACUGAAAGUGAAAUCACUGUGAACAACCUGAAAAUUGGAAAGUUGGACCAGCUGUGGGGAGAGAAAGGUCUUCGUGUCCUUUCCCACGUUCACCGUGCCAGUUACACACAAAGCAGAGAUUUUUUUGCUUGAAUCAUUAAAAGCCGGGUGGGUGGGGGGCACCCUAUGUACUGUCUUGCCCUCCUUCGGCCCCUUUCUCACAUUUAUUUGCCAUUUUCUUUUUGCUGACAAGUUCCAUUACAGAAUGCCCCCUCCAUCCCCCGCCGCCAGAUUUUUUAUAUUUCAAUUGUUAUUUACUCCAAGAGUGUGGAAAGUUCUCCUUUAAGAUUCCCCCGCCUUGAACUCUAAACUCAGAGUGGAAAGGGAAUCUGAAAAGUCUCUCAUUUAGCAACACAUCACAUCAGUCCUUUUUGUCAGAUAAACACAGGCACAAUUGCUUUUAAAGAUCUUCAGAAGGAGGAGUCCACCACUUCCACAGUAGAUCCAGAGAGACCCGAACUGAAUGCUUUGCCUUCUCCUUGUGUUAGGAGUUCAGAGGUUCCAUUUGCUUUAAAACACAAGAAGCUACUAAUAAAAUAUAUUUAUUUCGGCAAGGUACCUAUUUUCUCCAAAAGUUUCACCUUCAGUAAUUGCCACAGGAGUAAUUAGAACUCUGUGUUCUAUAAAAUGCCUGACACAUUAAAGACACAAAAUUAGCAUUUGUUUUUAUUCAUGCAAGGAUUUAAAACCAAACCAAAACAAAGCAAAACACCCAGCAAAUAUCAGUUUCCUACAAAUAGUGUAAAAAAACCUCUUGAGGAAUCUUUGUGACCCACACUCCAAAUUGAAAGAGUGCCAUGGAUUUCCCCAAAUUUAGAAUCCUGUCUGGGUUAGAGGAUUUUUUUGGAAUUUCUCAUCACUUGACAAAACAGUUUUCUCUUUUCAAAUAUAAAAGAGCUCCUUGUAAAAUGCUUGGUAAAUUUCUGGGAAGCCGAGUGUUUCUUCCAGAGGGAAGGAUACCUGGAAAUCCGGAUGUAAGCAAGAUAAACCUGUAGCUAAAGCUUUCUUAAAAUUCAUUGAUUCUGGGGGAAGGAAAUAAGUGAUUAGAAAAGUAUUUGGUCAACCAAAACCAUGAUAGUUUGAUAUAUUUACUGCACUGAAAAUACACUAGAAUCAUAUGCAUAGUGGAGCUUGAAGUGGAAAGCCCACCUUACAUUUUGGAAGAAACUUUUAUAUUUCAAUCCCAUAGAUAUCUAAUUUAUUUAAGGAAACAGGAUAUCUCUGUCUCAUAAGAAAAAAAAUAACAUCUGACUGAUUUUUAUAGGAAUGCUUGGGAGUUUACUCUUUUACUUGAAAGGUUUUUUUUUUUUUUGCCUUUUUUUUUAAACUUUAGAAACAGAGGCGUUUCUUAGUUAAGAUAACAGGGCUUACUACAGUAUUCUUUAAUUAUCAAGGUCCCUUGUAACUCUAAGUCUGUUAUCUCUAAUUGGAGAGAUAAUUAAAUCUUAAAGACCACUCUGACUCUAAUUCAACCAACGUGUGUGGUGUCCAGGAUCGUUGGACUUCCUUAAGAAUUCUAUUUUAUCCAGGUGGGUUCUUCCUCAGUAAAUUGUAUUCUCCUAUUGGUAGGAAAUACUCUUGGAUUUCUUUCUUUCUUUCUUUUUCUUUCUUUCUUUCUUUCUUUCUUUCUUUCUUUCUUUCUUUCUUUUUCCUUCUUUCCUUCUUUCUUUCUAAAACUGUAUUCAGAGAGAGAAAUGUGACAAAAAAAGGGAAAUCAAUAGAGACAGAAAGUAGAUUCAUGGGUACCCAAGUUUAUGGGCUGGGAACAGGAAUUAACUGUAAAAGGGCACAGGGAAUCUUAUUGAGGUGAUGGAAAUCUGUGUUCUAAAACUACAUUGCAGUGAUGACUGUACAAUUUGGUAAAAGCUUCAAAAUUCUGGGGAUUAUACACAAAAUGAGUGAAUUUUACGGUAUGUAAAUUAUGCUUCAAUAAAG